ACAGAGAGGGAGAAGCGAGAGAGAGAGAGACAGAGAGAGAGACAGAGACAGAGAGACAGAGAGACAGAGAAACA